rnacentral:rRNA from 1 species
UACGUAGGGGGCGAGCGUUGUCCGGAUUUAUUGGGCGUAAAGAGCUCGUAGGCGGUUGGGUAAGUCGGGUGUGAAAACUCAGGGCUCAACUCUGAGACGCCACUCGAUACUGCCCUGACUCGAGUCCGGUAGGGGAGCGUGGAAUUCCCGGUGUAGCGGUGAAAUGCGCAGAUAUCGGGAGGAACACCAGUGGCGAAGGCGGCGCUCUGGGCCGGAACUGACGCUGAGGAGCGAAAGCUAGGGGAGCAAACAGG